GGACCCGCACAAGUAGUGGAGCAUGUGGUUUAAUUCGAAGAUACGCGAGGAACCUUACCAGGGCUUAAAUGUAGUGGGACAGGUCUAGAGAUAGACCCUUCUUCGGACUCAUUACAAGGUGCUGCAUGGUUGUCGUCAGCUCGUGCCGUGAGGUGUCAGGUUAAGUCCUAUAACGAGCGCAACCCCUAUCGUUAGUUGCCAGCGGGUAAUGCCGGGAACUCUAACGGAACUGCCGGUGCAAACCGUGAGGAAGGUGGGGACGACGUCAAAUCAUCACGGCCCUUACGUCCUGGCCACACACGUGCUACAAUGGUAGGUACAGAGGGAAGCCACCCCGCGAGGGGGAG
rnacentral:rRNA from 1 species